rnacentral:rRNA from 1 species
AUGCAGGGCGCCGCCGCGGCCGCCGAGAGGAGGAGCAGGGCUUCUCCCGACAAGGCCGUCGAGAGCUCUAAGAAGGCGCGGCUGGACCUGCCCGACGGCCACAUGAAGCAAGAGGCGGCCGGUGGAGGAGAUGGAGGCGCCAUCGUUGGGGCGGCGUACAUCCAGCGAGUGGACCUUGCCAUGAGGAUCGACAAGCAAGUGCUCCACUGCCCCCUCUGCACCCUCCCCUUCAAGCCCCGGUCUUACAGUGCAAAGCGGGGCACCCGGCCUGCGGCGGCUGCGUGGCCCUGCUGCCCUUCGGGCAGUGCAAGGCAUGCGUGGACGGCGGUGGCUUGUUCGACCCCUGCCCUGCGCUGGACGCCGUGGUGUCCUCCACCAGGAUCGGGUGCCCCAACGCUGGCUUCAAGUGGUACGUGA